AAGAGGUCCUUGGUCAAGACAAGGGAAAGAACAUUAAUCUUCUGACUCAAGAUUAUUAAAUGUAAAUGUUGCCUUGAGACUGGGAAUUCAGUGGAGACCUUGUAUACAGGCUCAUGAGGGAUCCCUCCCCCAAAAAGUCUGACAACUUUACUGAACUACAGAAGAGUGCUGAGCUUAGGUCCUACUUCCAAAUCAUCUAUAACAAGGCUCAAGGUUGACUCAGCCUUCCAUCCUUUCAAAGAAAUACUCAGAGAAGCAACAGAGAAGGGCAGCAACUUCCAGCUGCUUCAUUGUUCCUCCGGCAGAAGGCAGCUAUCCAGAUUGGGCUCAAAAGCAACAGAGAUGGACAAUGACCACAGCAGAAAGACAAUGUGAAUUGUCUGAAUGAAAAGAAGCAUGCAGAGGAUAUUUUACCCUAGCAGCUACCAAAAAAACUAGAAGAGGCACCAGAGAGCAUGAAUGUGGGAUGAAACUCCCAUAUUUCUCCAUAUUUCUCCUUAAUAUUCCAUUUUAAAUAUGGGAAGUUAUGCAGAUACCAUUGGAUGCAUCAUCCCAUCUACAAUUUUUUUUCAUGAUGUAGAAUAGAGGCGAGGUCCCUUAGACUCCUAUCUCUAUUCUGCUGCUAUUUUGAACAUUAAAGGUUUACAGGUAGUCCUUGA